GCGGGUAUGGCGGAAUUGGUAGACGCACCAGAUUUAGGUUCUGGCGUGAGAACGUGGGGGUUCGAGUCCCUCUACCCGCACCA
rnacentral:tRNA from 14 species